rnacentral:rRNA from 1 species
AUUGAACGCUGGCGGCGUGCCUAACACAUGCAAGUCGAGCGGUAACAGGUGUAGCAAUACAUGCUGACGAGCGGCGAACGGGUGAGUAAUGCUUCGGAAUCUGCCCAUGUAGUGGGGAAUAACCAGCCGAAAGGUUGGCUAAUACCGCAUACGACCCUUGCCCACAAGGCAAAGGUGAAAGCAGGGGAUCGCAAGACCUUGCGCUAUUGGAUGAGCCGAAGUCGGAUUAGCUAGUUGGUAGGGUAACGGCCUACCAAGGCGACGAUCCGUAGCUGGUCUGAGAGGACGGACCAGCCACACUGGGACUGAGACACGGCCCAGACUCCUACGGGAGGCAGCAGUGGGGAAUCUUGCGCAAUGGGCGAAAGCCUGACGCAGCGACGCCGCGUGAGGGAUGACGGCCUCGUU